rnacentral:rRNA from 1 species
AUGGGCCCUACAAGGUUACUGACUUCAGCCAAACUCCGAAUGCCGGGAAGUGAGAGCGUGGCAGUGAGACUGUGGGGGAUAAGCUUCAUAGUCGAGAGGGAAACAGCCCAGACCACCGGUUAAGGCCCCUAAGCGUGUGCUAAGUGGGAAAGGAUGUGGAGUUGCUGAGACAACCAGGAGGUUGGCUUAGAAGCAGCCACCCUUGAAAGAGUGCGUAAUAGCUCACUGGUCAAGUGAUUCCGCGCCGACAAUGUAGCGGGGCUCAAGUACACCGCCGAAACCGUGGCAUUCAGUUUUGCUGGAUGGGUAGGGGAGCGUCGUUCACGAGGUGAAGCCAGCGGGUAACUUCUGGUGGAUUGUGGACGAGUGAGAAUGCAGGCAUGAGUAGCGAAAGACGGGUGAGAAACCCGUCCGCCGGAUGACUAAGGGUUCCAGGGUCAAGCUAAUCUGCCCUGGGUAAGUCGGGACCUAAGGCGAGGCCGACAGGCGUAGUCGAUGGACAACGGGUUGAUAUUCCCGUACCAGUGAAGAACCGCCCAUGCUGAGC